rnacentral:rRNA from 1 species
GACGAACGCUGGCGGCGUGCUUAACACAUGCAAGUCGAACGGAAAGGCCCUGCUUUUGUGGGGUGCUCGAGCGGCGAACGGGUGAGUAACACGUGAGUAACCUGCCCUUGACUUUGGGAUAACUUCAGGAAACUGGGGCUAAUACCGGAUAGGAGCUCCUGCUGCAUGGUGGGGGUUGGAAAGUUUCGGCGGUUGGGGAUGGACUCGCGGCUUAUCAGCUUGUUGGUGGGGUAGUGGCUUACCAAGGCUUUGACGGGUAGCCGGCCUGAGAGGGUGACCGGCCACAUUGGGACUGAGAUACGGCCCAGACUCCUACGGGAGGCAGCAGUGGGGAAUAUUGCACAAUGGGCGGAAGCCUGAUGCAGCAACGCCGCGUGCGGGAUGACGGCCUUCGGGUUGUAAACCGCUUUCGCCUGUGACGAAGCGUGAGUGACGGUAAUGGGUAAAGAAGCACCGGCUAACUACGUGCCAGCAGCCGCGGUGAUACGUAGGGUGCGAGCGUUGUCCGGAUUUAUUGGGCGUAGAGGGCUCGUAGGUGGUUGAUCGCGUCGGAAGUGUAAUCUUGGGGCUUAACCCUGAGCGUGCUUUCGAUACGGGUUGACUUGAGGAAGGUAGGGGAGAAUGGAAUUCCUGGUGGAGCGGUGGAAUGCGCAGAUAUCAGGAGGAACACCAGUGGCGAAGGCGGUUCUCUGGGCCUUUCCUGACGCUGAGGAGCGAAAGCGUGGGGAGCGAACAGGCUUAGAUACCCUGGUAGUCCACGCUGUAAACGGUGGGUACUAGGUGUGGGGUCCAUUCCACGGGUUCCGUGCCGUAGCUAACGCUUUAAGUACCCCGCCUGGGGAGUACGGCCGCAAGGCUAAAACUCAAAGGAAUUGACGGGGCCCCGCACAAGCGGCGGAGCAUGCGGAUUAAUUCGAUGCAACGCGUAGAACCUUACCUGGGUUUGACAUGGAUCGGGAGUGCUCAGAGAUGGGUGUGCCUCUUUUGGGGUCGGUUCACAGGUGGUGCAUGGCUGUCGUCAGCUCGUGUCGUGAGAUGUUGGGUUAAGUCCCGCAACGAGCGCAACCCUUGUUCACUGUUGCCAGCACGUUAUGGUGGGGACUCAGUGGAGACCGCCGGGGUCAACUCGGAGGAAGGUGGGGACGACGUCAAGUCAUCAUGCCCCUUAUGUCCAGGGCUUCACGCAUGCUACAAUGGCUGGUACAGAGAGUGGCGAGCCUGUGAGGGUGAGCGAAUCUCGGAAAGCCGGUCUCAGUUCGGAUUGGGGUCUGCAACUCGACCUCAUGAAGUCGGAGUCGCUAGUAAUCGCAGAUCAGCAACGCUGCGGUGAAUACGUUCCCGGGGCU